GUGACCUCUAUGUGUGUGCUGGGAACCAAACUUUGAUCCUCUGUAGGAGCAUCAGCCAAGGGCAGCAAAGCCUAGAGAGCGGAGGUGAAGAGCAAGAACGUGAUGGAGUCAGCACCUCAGCCUGCGGGGAUGGGAUACUCAGAUGCUUUAAAGUAACACAUGGGUAAGUCUCAGCAGGUCCUUCCCUCCUCCUCUUCCUCCUCCUUCUCCUCCUCUCUCUCCUCCUUCUCCUCCUCUUCCUCCUUCUCCUCUUCCUCCUCCUCUUCCUCCUCUCCCUCCUCCUUUUCCUCCUCUUCUUCCUCCUUCUCCUCCUCGCCCUCCUCCUCCUCCUUUUCCUCCUCUUCAUCAUCUUCCUCCCCCUUCUCCUCCUCUUCCUCCCCCUUCUCCUCCUCUUCCUCCCCCUUCUCUUCCUCCUCCUCUUC
rnacentral:lncRNA from 1 species